rnacentral:rRNA from 1 species
UACGGGGGGGGCAAGCGUUGUUCGGAUUUACUGGGCGUAAAGCGCACGUAGGCGGGUCGUUAAGUCAGGGGUGAAAUCCCGGAGCUCAACUCCGGAACUGCCUUUGAUACUGGCGAUCUCGAGUCCGGGAGAGGUGAGUGGAACUGCGAGUGUAGAGGUGAAAUUCGUAGAUAUUCGCAAGAACACCAGUGGCGAAGGCGGCUCACUGGCCCGGUACUGACGCUGAGGUGCGAAAGCGUGGGGAGCGAACAGG